rnacentral:rRNA from 1 species
AUACGUAGGGAGCGAGCGUUGUCCGGAAUUACUGGGUGUAAAGGGAGCGUAGGCGGGAGUGCAAGUCAGAUGUGAAAUAAAUGGGCUCAACCCAUGGGCUGCAUUUGAAACUGCAUUUCUUGAGUGAAGUAUAGGUAAGCGGAAUUCAUGUUGCAGCGGUGAAAUGCGUAGAUAUCAGGAGGAACCCCGGUGGCGAAGGCGGCUUACUGGGCUUUUACUGACGCUGAGGCUCGAAAGCGUGGGGAGCAAACAGGAUUAGAUACCCUGGUAGUCCACGCUGUAAACGAUGAUUACUAGGUGUGGGGGGACUGACCCCUUCCGUGCCGCAGUUAACACAAUAAGUAAUCCACCUGGGGAGUACGGCCGCAAGGUUGAAACUCAAAUGAAUGGACGGGG